rnacentral:rRNA from 1 species
CAGGGUUUGACAUCCUGUGCUCACCGGAGAGAUCCGGCUUCCCCGCAAGGGGCGCAGAGACAGGUGCUGCAUGGCUGUCGUCAGCUCGUGUCGUGAGAUGUUGGGUUAAGUCCCGCAACGAGCGCAACCCUCGCCUUUAGUUGCCAUCAUUCAGUUGGGCACUCUAGAGGGACCGCCGGCGACAAGCCGGAGGAAGGUGGGGAUGACGUCAAGUCCUCAUGGCCCUUACACCCUGGGCUACACACGUGCUACAAUGGCGGUGACAGUGGGCAGCUAACUCGCGAGAGCAAGCUAAUCCCAAAAAGCCGCCCCAGUUCAGAUUGCACUCUGCAACUCGAGUGCAUGAAGGUGGAAUCGCUAGUAAUCGCAGAACAGCAGGCUGCGGUGAAUACGUUCCC